rnacentral:rRNA from 1 species
AUACGUAGGGGCCAAACGUUGUCCGGAUUUAUUGGGCGUAAAGGGCUCGUAGGCGGUUCAACAAGUCGGUCGUGAAAACCCGGGGCUCAACCCCGGGACGCCGGUCGAAACUGUUGUGACUAGGGUCCGGUAGAGGUGAGUGGAAUUCUCGGUGUAGCGGUGGAAUGCGCAGAUAUCGAGAGGAACACCAGUAGCGAAGGCGGCUCACUGGGCCGGUACCGACGCUGAGGAGCGAAAGCAUGGGGAGCAAACAGGAUUAGAAACCCCGGUAGUCC